CCUACGGGUGGCUGCAGUGAGGAAUAUUGGUCAAUGGACGAGAGUCUGAACCAGCCAAGUCGCGUGAAGGAUGACUGCCCUAUGGGUUGUAAACUUCUUUUAUAUGGGAAUAAAACGUUCCACGUGUGGGAUUUUGUAUGUACCAUAUGAAUAAGGCUCGGCUAACUCCGUGCCAGCAGCCGCGGUUAUUCGGAGGAUCCGAGCGUUAUCCGGGUUUAUUGGGUUUAAAGGGAGCGUAGGUGGAUUGUUAAGUCAGUUGUGAAAGUUUGCGGCUCAACCGUAAAAUUGCAGUUGAAACUGGCAGUCUUGAGUACAGGAGAGGUGGGCGGAAUUCGUGGUGUAGCGGUGAAAUGCUUAGAUAUCACGAAGAACUCCGAUUGCGAAGGCAGUUCACUGGACUGCAACUGACACUGAGGCUCGAAAGUGUGGGUAUCAAACAGGAUUAGAUACCCCUGUAGUC
rnacentral:rRNA from 1 species